rnacentral:rRNA from 1 species
GAUGAACGCUGGCGGCGUGCAUAACACAUUCAAGUCGAACGAGGUAGCAAUACCUAGUGGCGGACGGGUGAGUAACGCGUGAGCAACCUGCCCUUGUGUGGGGGAUACCGUCUGGAAACGGACGUUAAUACCGCAUAAUGUAGUGAGAUCGCAUGGUCUUAUUACCAAAGAUUUAUUGCGCAAGGAUGGGCUCGCGUUGGAUUAGAUAGUUGGUGAGGUAACGGCUCACCAAGUCUACGAUCAGUAGCCGGACUGAGAGGUUGAACGGCCACAUUGGAACUGAGAUACGGUCCAGACUCCUACGGGAGGCAGCAGUGGGGAAUAUUGGGCAAUGGGCGAAAGCCUGACCCAGCAACGCCGCGUGAAGGAAGAAGGUCUUCGGAUUGUAAACUUCUUUGUAAGGGACGAACAAUGACGGUACCUUACGAAUAAGCCACGGCUAACUACGUG